AUACGGAGGGUGCGAGCGUUAAUCGGAAUUACUGGGCGUAAAGGGUGCGUAGGCGGCUUGAUAAGUCGGAUGUGAAAGCCUCGGGCUUAACCUGGGAAUUGCAUUCGAUACUGUCAGGCUAGAGUAUGUCAGAGGUUGGCGGAAUUCCUGGUGUAGCGGUGAAAUGCGUAGAUAUCAGGAGGAACACCAGUGGCGAAGGCGGCUAACUGGGACAAUACUGACGCUGAGGCACGAAAGCGUGGGGAGCAAACAGGAUUAGAAACCCUAGUAGUCC
rnacentral:rRNA from 1 species